AUGUUACCUGGAGCUCUUUGUUUACUCCUCUCAACUAUAGGUCUUCUCACUGGACUUUGUCAUGGCGAUUCUGUCUCACAAACUCCGCCUGAAAUCACAGUAAACGAGGGUGAUGAUGCCCUGUUGUUCUGUAAGUACUCUACAAUAAACAGCAAUCCUAAUCUGUUCUGGUACCGUCAACCUUCCAACGGGUCCAUGAAUUUUCUGCUGCAGAUAAACCAAUAUAGCCAGAAAACGAGUUUUCUAUCAGACAAGCUCUCCUGGGACUUUGACCAUGUGAACCGCACUAUGCAGCUGAAGGUUUUGAAAACAGUACUCACAGACACUGCAGUGUAUUACUGCGCACUGAGUCCCACAGAGACUCAGAACUGGGCUGACCGUGUACAAAAACUCUCGGAGGAUCUAGGCAAACAGUGA